UACGAAGGGGGCUAGCGUUGCUCGGAAUUACUGGGCGUAAAGCGUGCGCAGGCGGCUUCUCAAGUCAGGGGUGAAAGCCCAGAGCUCAACUCUGGAACUGCCUUUGAGACUGAGAGGCUUGAGUACGGGAGAGGUGAGUGGAAUUCCCAGUGUAGAGGUGAAAUUCGUAGAUAUUGGGAAGAACACCGGUGGCGAAGGCGGCUCACUGGCCCGUAACUGACGCUCAUGCACGACAGCGUGGGGAUCAAACAGG
rnacentral:rRNA from 1 species